UUUUUCUCUCUUCCUCCUUCCUCUUUUUUUUUUGUUUAUUCUUCGCUUAUGUCUCAUCUCUCUCUCCCUCUGUUUCUCGAAUGCUCCGACGGCGAAAGCUCUCCGAAAAGGAUUGUCUGAAGUUGUGGAUUACAUUGUUCAUAAACUGUGGGAACGCAACAGCAUUGGGGUAUCUAUGUUAUAUAUAUAUAUAUAUAUGUUUGUUUUUGAAUGCAAAUGUUAAGGAAGAAUUGUGGCCAUAGUCAUCUUCCCCAAUCUCUGCUAGCUAUCUAGUUUCAAAUAAGAAAUCAAUGACGACAUCGAAGACGACGAUGAUAUAGUUGCAGACAAUGGUAAGUAAUUCCGAAAUUUUGGGGACUUUACGAAAAUUGAUUUCUUGAUUGAAUUCGAAGAUCCAGUUUUUGGCUUUUUCCUGUGUGGAAUUAAAAUUCACAAAUUUGUCUUCCUUUCACUAUGAAAUUUGAAUAUGCUGGUUUCAUUGUAAGUGGUGAAACUGAACUUCCCACUGAGGAGGAUGAUGAUCAUAGGCAAUUUUACCAACAGAGGUUUCAUCCUGAUCAAGAAGAAGAUUUCGGAAGCGGAUAAGGAAGCUCACGUGAUGUUGAUGUUGAUAAUCUGCGUAAGAGGGUCACGAUCAAGUUGAAUGAGUUUCAUGUUCUCUUUUCAGGUUUGGACCCUCUGUUUUCUACUUAGCAAUAUGUCUCUCUGUUUUCUACUUAGCAAUAUGUCUCUCUGUUUUUUUUUGUCAAACCAAGCAUGGAGUAUUGAAACCAAAGCUCUUGUGAAAGUGGCGUUCUUGUUUGUCUUAUCGGAACCAAAGCAUUGAAACCUUGUGUUGUUUCUUUUUAA